CACUCUCCGAUGUCAGGGUUUGAAGAUUUAGGAAUAUGGAGGGGAGCUGCAAUGUCGAGCUUGGAGGAGGCGUACCAAGGUUUGCACUAGAGUUCUUGGGAACGGGUCAACGUUGGCAUCAGGUUGAGUAUAUAUACUAGAUUUGCUCCAGCCAGCAAAAAUGAAAAUCAGCACCACUAGUCUCUGGCUCUCUGUUGCAUAUGACUAGCAACGCGAAACAUGCAGUUGAGAAUUUUCACUGUUAAAAGAAGAUUUGAACUAUAUGGACCACCGUUUCUCCCUCAGUCUUUCUCACUAAGCACAGAUGUUUGUACUGCCAUACCUCUGCAAUUUAGGUUCUGCUUGGUUUAAAAGAUGAUCUUUGCUAUACCUCCAUGACUUGAGUUUGCUUGACACAACCAUUCUCCAGUACUAGUCACUUGUGCAGAAAUCACAAUCCAUACCCGACUCCCUUGUCCUACCCAUUACACCCUGGCUCCAUGAGGUCGUAAUCCAUUCCUGUCCAAUGCCAUGAGUCAUUGUGCAAAGUGGUGGUGGAUUUUGGACCCCAGAGUGUUGUUUCUCUGCUGGAAUGGUUAUGCUCCAAAUGAAGCAGCAGUCAAGGGUUAAAUUUACCAUAUACUUCAAGUCGAGAUUUUUGAGCAAUGGUGUCAAAUCACGCUGCUAGUUCUAUUAAUCUUUGUAAUUUCUGGCAUGCUGAGUGGACAAGGUUUGUAUUGUAUCUUGCUGCAGCUACUAACAAUUUUGAGAGGAGAAGUUUGGUUACGGAGGAGAUGCAAAGUGUUUGGCGGGUUGUAAGUCUCCACCAUUAGUAGUCCAUCUCCAUUAAUAUGGUGCAAUAAUAUAUAAGACAUUCUUAUAUAUGUUUUUGCUUUAAGAAACUUUGAUUGGUGGAGUUGUUUUUUGUAUCUGAUAACUUUCAUUGAAAAAGAAUACA